rnacentral:rRNA from 1 species
GACGAACGCUGGCGGCGUGCUUAACACAUGCAAGUCGAACGGAAAGGCCCUGCUUGCAGGGUACUCGAGUGGCGAACGGGUGAGUAACACGUGGGUGAUCUGCCCUGCACUUCGGGAUAAGCCUGGGAGACUGGGUCUAAUACCGGAUAGGAGCCAUUUUUAGUGUGAUGGUUGGAAAGUUUUUUCGGUGUAGGAUGAGCUCGCGGCCUAUCAGCUUGUUGGUGGGGUAAUGGCCUACCAAGGCGGCGACGGGUAGCCGGCCUGAGAGGGUGGACGGCCACAUUGGGACUGAGAUACGGCCCAGACUCCUACGGGAGGCAGCAGUGGGGAAUAUUGCACAAUGGGCGCAAGCCUGAUGCAGCGACGCCGCGUGGGGGAUGACGGCCUUCGGGUUGUAAACUCCCUUCGCUAGGGACGAAGCUUUUUGUGACGGUACCUAGAUAAGAAGCACCGGCUAACUACGUG